rnacentral:rRNA from 1 species
UACGAAGGGGGCUAGCGUUGCUCGGAAUCACUGGGCGUAAAGGGUGCGUAGGCGGGUCUUUAAGUCAGGGGUGAAAUCCUGGAGCUCAACUCCAGAACUGCCUUUGAUACUGAAGAUCUUGAGUUCGGGAGAGGUGAGUGGAACUGCGAGUGUAGAGGUGAAAUUCGUAGAUAUUCGCAAGAACACCAGUGGCGAAGGCGGCUCUCUGGAACGCAACUGACGCUGAGACGCGAAAGCGUGGGGAGCAAACAGG